UGCCACAUGAUGUCUUAUGUAGCUGAAUGUGGACAACCGACCUGCCACAACAGUCAGAUGUAAGGUGUUCCUAUGACUUCCUCUUAUGUUCUGGGCUUCACAGGAAUAAUUCCCACUGUGUUCAGCUCUGAAGUCAGUGAUGGUGAAGUUCUGUCCUGAUGCUUUUGCAGAGGGACUCACUGACACAGAGGGAAGCUUUGGACCAUCUGGAGGACAAGAUUUAACAAAGAUUAGCAGCAGAUUUUAAGAAUGUAUUCAUCCACACAAAGACCAUUUUCAAGUCAUUAAACCCUAAAAGAUUUA